rnacentral:lncRNA from 1 species
ACAUAUAUCAGUUUUGAUUGUUCUUUACAACUUCGUAGAUUAUCUCUUAGAAGUUGAAUAAGUCUGAAGCCUCAAUACAAUCCCCAAAAUUCCUUCAGUAUCAUUAUUUUUGCCCUAAAAAUUAAGUACCUUAUGUAACUCUUUGUUAUAAAUUCCAGGAGAUUGCAAAACUUGUGGAGGCUCACGCUACAUCAAUGAAAGUAGAACAAGACUUAAAUACUGAAUUGACCAGAAACAAGAGUAAAAUUGAAGAGCUUGAAACUCAGAAAGCUGCAUUAGAGGCAAAUUUGGAAGAACUACAAAGUAUUGCUCAGUCAAAUAAUAGUCAUGAAGAAUUGAGAUCACAGCUUAUGAGCAAAAUAGCUGAUCAAGAUAAUCAGAUAUCAGCUUUAACGGAAGCCAGGACAGACCUUGAAUCAGAAGUGCGGCUUUUGAAUGACCAUGUCAAAGACUUAACUUACCGGUUACAAAUGUCGGAAGCUACAACUCUAAAUCAAAAUAACCUAGAAACAGAAACGAACAACCUGAAAGUUGGAUUAGAAUCAGCGAAAAGAACGAUUGUAACCUUGAAUGAACAGCUUAGCUCUGCUUCGAUUGAUAUCAACAAAAAAACGGAACUAAUCAAUGGGAAAAACAGAAUUGAUCGAAGAUUUGCAACAACAAAUUGAAAAUUCAACCAAAGAACACCAAUCACAAGCCGAAUUAAACUUAAAAUUAUCUGAGGAAAUUGCAGCAUUGAAACAGAACCUAUCUAGUAAAGAGCAAGAAUUGAAAUCUAUAGAAGAAGACUAUGCUGAGCUAAAUUAAGCCACGAAAAAAAAGAUCGUGAAUUGUGUAAGUACAUCCUGGAAGAAAAGCAGCUGAAAGAUGAAUUAAAUGCUUUAAAAAAGAAGUGUGAAGCGAUUGAAAGUGAGAAAACAGCUCUGACUGAAACUUGUGACUCGCUCACAAGGGAAAUCGUAUCCCUUCAAGACAAAGCCUCAACUAAAGAACAUACACAGGAUCAAAUUAAAAAACACACGCAGCUGGAGGAAGACAUACAACAGAGGCAACAUGAUUUUGAGAACGUCAAGGAGAAAUUGGAACAAAUAGAAAUAGAAAAUACUGAGCUUCGGGAAG